rnacentral:rRNA from 1 species
UACCAGCACCCCGAGUGGUCGGGACGUUUAUUGGGCCUAAAGCAUCCGUAGCCGGUUCUACAAGUCUUCCGUUAAAUCCACCUGCUUAACAGAUGGGCUGCGGAAGAUACUAUAGAGCUAGGAGGCGGGAGAGGCAAGCGGUACUCGAUGGGUAGGGGUAAAAUCCGUUGAUCCAUUGAAGACCACCAGUGGCGAAGGCGGCUUGCCAGACGCGCUCGACGGUGAGGGAUGAAAGCUGGGGGAGCAAACCGGAUUANAUACCCGGGUAGUCCCAGCUGUAAACGANNCANACUCGGUGAUGNNNUGNCU